UACGUAGGGUGCGAGCGUUGUCCGGAAUUAUUGGGCGUAAAGAGCUCGUAGGCGGUGUGUCACGUCGUUCGUGAAAACCUGCAGCUUAACUGUGGGCGUGCGGUCGAUACGGGCAUCACUGGAGUUCGGCAGGGGAGACUGGAAUUCCUGGUGUAGCGGUGAAAUGCGCAGAUAUCAGGAGGAACACCGAUGGCGAAGGCAGGUCUCUGGGCAUUAACUGACGCUGAGGAGCGAAAGCAUGGGGAGCGAACAGG
rnacentral:rRNA from 1 species